rnacentral:misc_RNA from 1 species
GAUGAAGAACGUAGUGAAAUGCGAUACUUGGUGUGAAUUGCAGAAUCCCGUGAACCAUCGAGUCUUUGAACGCAAGUUGCGCCCGAAGCCAUUAGGCCGAGGGCACGCCUGCCUGGGCGUCACACGUCGUUGCCCCCCCAUCUACUCCUUCGGGAUUGCGGGGGGCGGAUGAUGGCCUCCCGUGCGCCUCGUCGCGCGGUUGGCCUAAAUGCCAAGUCCUCGGCGACACACGCCACGACAAUCGGUGGUUGCGAAACCUCGGUUGCCCGUCGUGUGCGGUCGUCGCGCAUCGAGGGCUCGAAAAAAUUGCCGGGCUUCGGCUCGACUUUCAACGCGACCCCAGGUCAGGCGGGGUUACCCGCUGAAUUUAAGCAUAUCAAUAAGCGGAGGA